rnacentral:SRP_RNA from 1 species
UUUGCCAUUACAAUAGGCGGCUCCGAACCAUGUCAGGACCGGAAGGUAGCAGCAUUAAGGAUCACCGUUUAUGUGUAGUGGCUUUAUU